UACGUAGGGGGCAAGCGUUGUCCGGAUUUAUUGGGCGUAAAGAGCGUGUAGGCGGCCAGGUAGGUCCGCUGUGAAAACUCGAGGCUCAACCUCGAGAUGUCGGCGGAAACCAUCUGGCUAGAGUCCGGAAGAGGAGAGUGGAAUUCCUGGUGUAGCGGUGAAAUGCGCAGAUAUCAGGAGGAACACCGGUGGCGAAGGCGGAUCUCUGGGCCAUUACUGACGCUGAAACGCGAAAGCUAGGGGAGCGAACGGG
rnacentral:rRNA from 1 species